GUUUUUAGCCUGAGGCUACGUAUACGGAUCUUUUUUCUUUUUCCUCGCCAUUAGGUUCUGGUUUUUACCUGGUGAAUGACGACGUAGACCAACAACCUUCCCCAGCCAAUGUCUCCGUACCAGGCAACUACCAGGAAAUUUAAAGAAAGGCGCAUUCACAUUUAUUUUUAAAAAAAAGAAAAAAAAAAGAAAAUUUAUGUGAAUAAUUGCCCGGGCCACUUGACGGGCGGGCCAUAAGAUAAGCAGGGAAGAAAAAAGACGGCCAGCACGGAUGUUCCGCCAAAGAAAAAAAAAAGCCGAUGCCGGAUCAUCCGACAAUUGGGCACACUCACGUUUUCUUUUUAUGGGCAUGAUGAUAAACCAUUCCCGCUUUAAGUGUUUGAAACGCCCGUGAUCGAUGUCCACGUAAAGUUUGGCGAACCCUGGACAAGGUCAGUUGGCCCCCCGUCUAAUGAUGGAUGUCAUUGAAACGUGCCGGGAGCGCCGACGGUAAAUGGAGCCCACAUCGUUCCAGGCUAUUUGAAUAGAUUCGGGUCGGAAGCUAUACUGAAACGAAAAAAAAAAAAAAAAAGGCAAAAUACUCUGGUCAGCUGUUAGCGUUCCAUGGGAGCAAUAAGUUCCAGCCUUGAGGAUAUGAGCAAACGUUUCAGGCUAAAUGCUUGUCAUACCUCUGACAAGCCUUUCUUCUGGCCAAGCUGAUGGAACGUCAAUAUGCUGUGGGCCAUUUUGGAUGUCCAUGUUAAAAUGAAUUCGUUUCUUUUUUUUUAAAAGGACUGACAAAUGGAGCUGAUCCAUCUUAUUAAGUAAGCAGAAAAAUGAGAUACUUUGAUUGAUCGCAAGUAACUGGAUAUAACCUUCAUGGCAAACGGAAGCAAAACGGUUGAAGUAAAGUCCGUUAUGCACGACCGAAAGAAACCGGAUCUUGCCAUGGCAUGCUAAUAUUGGGUUGGCCAAUGGUUGCGUGAGUUGGGUCAAUGAAAUCAGCUGAACG